rnacentral:rRNA from 1 species
UACGUAGGUGGCAAGCGUUAUCCGGAAUUAUUGGGCGUAAAGCGCGCGCAGGCGGUCCUUUAAGUCUGAUGUGAAAGCCCACGGCUCAACCGUGGAGGGUCAUUGGAAACUGGGGGACUUGAGUGCUGAAGAGGAGAGUGGAAUUCCACGUGUAGCGGUGAAAUGCGUAGAGAUGUGGAGGAACACCAGUGGCGAAGGCGACUCUCUGGUCAGUAACUGACGCUGAGGCGCGAAAGCGUGGGGAGCGAACAGG